UCUCAAUGAUGAUUCAAUGUCAUGGUUUCGCAUUAGAAUGAAUCAAACUGAUUAAAACUUUCUCUUGGCUGUCUGAAGA
rnacentral:snoRNA from 1 species